rnacentral:tRNA from 1 species
GCCGAAGUGGCGGAACUGGCAGACGCGCGGGAUUCAAAAUCCCGUGGCCUUUACCGGCCGUGGGGGUUCGACUCCCCCCUUCGGCACCA